UAUGAACAAUGAGAUAAUCCCGAACUUGAUGAAUGAGAUGGUAGGGUACUGGCCGUCCAUGACUGUGAUCAAUACCUGAAUUAAGAGGAUCAACAGUCAGAUUGGGACUGAGACACAGCCCACACUGCUACGAAAAGGAAGCAAAUGGUUGAAUCUUGCGCGAAAGAACGAAACUCUUAUGCGACUGUGCGACGAGAGUGUCCACGGCCUUUAAGUUGUGGUUGCUCUUUCAACAGAUUAAUAUAAAUGACUGUACCCGAAAUGAGAAUGACCUGCUAGCUUCGUGCCAACAGCCGCGGAGAUACAUAGGGACCUUGCGAUAAUGUCGGAAUUACUGGGCUCGAAGAGGUCAUAGGUGGUUGAAAAAGAUGUUCGUAAGAUCCCAGAGCUAAUCUCUGGAACUGCCUUCAAAUCUCUUCAGAUACAGGAUGAUCUAGAGUAACAGCUGAAUUUCUGAUGUUUAUGUAAAUUUCUUAAAAAUCAAAAGAAUACGCAGUGCAAAGGCAACUUUCAGGUCAUUACUGACACUGAGGGUGCGAAACCAUGGAUA
rnacentral:rRNA from 1 species